rnacentral:misc_RNA from 1 species
CUGAGUUACAAACUCCAAACCACUGUGAACUUACCACUGUUGCUUCGGCGGUCACGCCCCGGGCGCCUCUGGCGACCCGGAUCCAGGCGUCCGCCGGGGAACCAAACACUCUGUUUUCUACCUGAAUCUUCUGAGUAAAAUACAAAUAAAUCA